GGAUGAAAAAAUUAAUUAGAAGUGAACAUGUUAUGAAGGAAACCCAAUCACCCAGGAAUCCUGGAAGAGAUCAUGGACUGGCCAGAAGGCAGAGAUUUUGGAGUAUCUUCUGUGGAGGUAACUCAUACCAAAAAGGCACCACCAUAUAAUGAAUUAUCGGAAGAUGAAAAGCAUUAUGUUUUGUUCACUGAUGAAUCCUGUCAUACUGUAGGAAACUAUCAAAAGUAAAAAGCUGCUGUGUGGAGUCCAACAACUA